rnacentral:rRNA from 1 species
AAUCUUCCGCAGUGGACGAAAGUCUGACGGAGCAACGCCGCGUGAGUGAGGAAGGUCUUCGGAUCGUAAAACUCUGUUGUUAGAGAAGAACACGUACCGUUUGAAUAAGGCGGUACCUUGACGGUAUCUAACGAGAAAGCCUCGGCUAACUACGUUCCAGCAGCCGCGGUAAUACGUAGGGGGCAAGCGUUGUCCGGAAUUAUUGGGCGUAAAGGGCGUGCAGGCGGUCUCUUAAGUCUGAUGUGAAAUCUCGUGGCUCAACCACGAGCGGUCAUUGGAAACUGGGAGACUUGAGUGUAGGAGAGGAAAGUGGAAUUCCACGUGUAGCGGUGAAAUGCGUAGAGAUGUGGAGGAACACCAGUGGCGAAGGCGACUUUCUGGCCUAUAACUGACGCUGAGGCGCGAAAGCGUGGGGAGCAAACA